rnacentral:rRNA from 1 species
CGGCGAACGGGUGAGUAACGCGUACGUAAUCUGCCUGUUGCAGGAGGAUAGCCUGAGGAAACUCGGAUUAAUACUCCAUAAUAUGUUUAUAUUGCAUGAUAUAAACAUCAAAGUAUUGUCGGCAAUAGAGGAGCGUGCGUCCGAUUUAUGCUAGUUGGUAGGAUAAAAGCCUACCAAGGCUACGAUUCGGUAGGGGACCUGAGAGGGUGACCCCCCACACUGGUACUGAGACACGGACCAGACUCCUACGGGAGGCAGCAGUGAGGAAUAUUGGUCAAUGGAGGAAACUCUGAACCAGCUACGCCGCGUGCAGGAGGAAGGCCUUAUAGGGUCGUAAACUGCUUUUGUAGGGGAAUAAAGGAUUCUACAAUGAGAAUUUUGAAUGUACUCUACGAAUAAGUAUCGGCUAACUCCGUGCCAGCAGCCGCGGUAAUACGGAGGAUACUAGCGUUAUCCGGAUUUAUUGGGUUUAAAGGGUGCGUAGGCGGUUCAUUAAGUCAGUAGUGAAAUCUUGCAGCUUAACUGUUAAAAUUGCUAUUGAUACUGAUGGACUGGAAUUAUAUCGGAGUAGCUGGAAUAUGUGGUGUAGCGGUGAAAUGCAUAGAUAUCACAUAGAACACCGAUCGCGAAGGCAAGCUACUAGGUCUAUAUUGACGCUGAGGCACGAAAGCGUGGGGAGCAAACAGGAUACCUUGGUAGUCCACGCUGUAAACGAUGAUCACUAACUAUUGGAUCUUUAGUGUAUUCAGUGGUAAAGCGAAAGUGUUAAGUGAUCCACCUGGGGAGUACGAUCGCAAGAUUGAAACUCAAAGGAAUUGACGGGGGCCCGCACAAGCGGUGGAGUAUGUGGUUUAAUUCGAUGGUACGCGAGGAACCUUACCAAGGCUUAAAUGCGUUACGAAAUAAACUAGAAAUAGUUUGCUUCUUAGGACGGAACGCAAGGUGUUGCAUGGUUGUCGUCAGCUCGUGCCGUGAGGUGUUAGGUUAAGUCCUUUAACGAGCGCAACCCCUGUCGUUAGUUACCAUCAGGUAAUGCUGGGAUCUCUAACGAGACUGCCGACGCAAGUCGAGAGGAAGGUGGGGAUUACGUCAAAUCAUUACGACUCUUAUGUCUUGGGCUACACACGUACUACAAUGGUCGGUACAAUGGGCAGCCACUGAGCGAUCAGGAGCUAAUCUCGAAAAGCCGAUCUCAGUUCGGAUUGGAGUCUGCAACUCGACUCUAUGAAGUUGGAAUCGCUAGUAAUCGCGUAUCAGCCAUGACGCGGUGAAUAUGUUCUCGGGCCUUGUACACACCGCCCGUCAAGCUCGGGGAGUCGGUGGUACUUGAAGUCGGUGUCC